CUGGGCACUUCAGAAGGGGCACUGGCCUAGGGGUAGAAGCAGGGUGACCCUGAUUUCCCUGGGGUAGGGUGUGGCUCACGACGGGGUGCUGAGAACCCACCAAGAAGGCUGGAACUUUCAGUACUCAUUGUUUUAUGAGGGCCUGCCUGUGUGCCAGGCGGGAAGCACUGACCAGAGGCCCAGGGCAACUGAAGGGUCUCAGCCUGGUCUCUUGGUGCCUGGGGGGUACACUGUACAAGCGAUGAUGUAGUUCCAAGGGGCAGGACUCUGACCCACACUCCUGGUGCCAAUGUCCAUUUUGCUACUCAUGUUAGAUUUUGCUUCUUUAAGUGAACCUACUCAGGAUAGCUGGGUUCUUGGCCAUUCUUCCAGUGGUUUUCAAGGGUGAAAAAAGGAGUUUCAGCAAGACAGCUAACGUCUGGAUGAGUGAGCCAGGAAGGGUCUGUAACCUUCCUCUAGAGAGCACUCUGGGCUGGUGGGCGCGAGGACUCCAGUUUCAUGCACGUCCGUGUGAAGAGACCACCAAACAGGCUUUGUGUGAGCAAUAAAGCUGUUUAUUUCACAUGGGGGCAGGCAGGCUGAGUCUGAAAAGAGAGUCAGUGAAGGGAGAUAGGGGUGGGGCCGUUUUAUAGGAUUUCGGUAGGUAAAGGAAAAUUACAGUUAAAGGGGGGUUGUUCUCUGGCGGGCAGAGUAGGGAUCACAAUGUACUCAGUGGGGGAGGUUUUGAGCCAGGAUGAGCCAGGAGAAGGAAUUUCACAAGACAAUGUCAUCAGUUAAGGCAGGAACAGGCCAUUUUCACUUCUUUUGUGGUGGAAUGUCAUCAGUUAAGGCAGGAACCGGCCAUCUGGAUGUGUACGUGCAGGUCACAGGGGAUAUGAUGGCUUAGCUUGGGCUCAGAGGCCUGACGUUCCUGUCUUCUUAUAUUAACAAGAAAAAUAAAACAAAAUAGUGGUAAAGUGUUGGGAUGGUGAAAAUUUUUUGGGGGUGGUAUGGAGAGACAAUGGGCGAUGUUUCUCAGGGCUGCUUCGAGCGGGAUUAGGGGCGGCGUGGGAACCUAGAGUGGGAGAGAUUAAGCUGAAGGAAGAUUUUGUGGUAAGGGGUGAUAUUGUAGGGUUGUUAGAAGAAACAUUUGUCAUUUAGAAUUAUUGGUGAUGUCCUGGAUACAGUUUUGUAUGAAUUGAAAAACUAAAUGGAAGAAGAGAAGGAGAAAAACAGAUAUUAAAGGUCUAAGAAUUGGGAGGACCUAGGACAUCUAAUUAGAGAGUGCCUAAGGAGGUUCAGCAUAGUCCUGUCAGCAGAGAUUGUUUAUUUACUUCAAGAGUUAAGAGUGGCAGUUUGGGGAUAGCACCAGGAGAUAUCAGCUGUGAUGACUUGGAGAAACAGUGUAAACCGGCAGUGUAAACAAGAGAAGGGCAUGUAUGAGUAGUUGAGAACGGCAAAUAGGAGUUUGACUAGACAGAAGAUAGUAGGGAUGACAAGUUUUUUGGGGCACAGUCUAAGUUGGUCUGGUGUCUGGAAUGACACUGGGGCCAAUAAAAAGGAGCGUCUUUACAGGAGCUCAAAUGGGCUGUAUUUUGUAGCAUUCUGAGGACAGCUCUGACUUCUGAGAAGGGAAAGUGGUAAAAGUGUUGUACAGUCCUUUUUAAGUUGGAGGCUGAGCUUAGUGAGGUGUGUUUUUAAAAGACCAUUAGUCUGUUCUACUUUUCCUGAAGACUGAGGACUGUAAGGGAUAUAAAGAUUUCACUGAAUACUAAGAGCCUGAAAAACUGCUUGGCUGAUUUGACUAAUAAAGGCUGGUCUGUUGUCAGACUGUAUAGAGGUGGGAAGGCUAAACUGAGGAAUUAUGUCUGACAGAAGGGAAGAAAUGACUGUGGUGGCCUUCUCAGACCCUGUAGGAAAGGCCUGUACUUAUCCAGUGAAAGUGUCUACUUAGAUUAAGAGGUACUUUAGUUAUCUGACUCGGGGUACGUUGAGUAAAACUAAUUUGCCAGUCCUGGGUGCGGGCAAAUCCCUGAGCUUGAUGUGUAGGGAAGGGAGGGAGCCUGAAUAAUCCCUGAGGAGUAGUAGAAUAGCAGAUGGAACACUGAGAAGUUAUUUCCUUGAGGAUAGAUUUCCACGAUGGAAAGAAAAUGAGAGGUUCUAAGAGGAGGGCUAGUGGCUUGUACUAUAGCAUAGCCUGCCUUUGCUGGUGUGUGGUGAUUAGGCCUGGUGGAGCUGCCGUCAAUAAAUCAAGAGUGAUCAGGUUGAGGAACAGGAAAGAAGGAAAUAUGGGGAAAUGAGGUGAAUGUCAGUUGGAUCAGAGAGAUACAGUCAUGGGGGUCAGGUGUAGUAUCAGGAAUAAUGUGGGAGGCCGGACUGAAGUCCGGGCCAGGAACAAUGGUAAUUGUGGGACUUAACAAAGAGUGAGUACAGCUGAAGGAGCCGGGGAGCAGACAGUAAGUGCAUCAGGUGUGAGGAAGAAAAUAGAUUUUGGAAGUUAUGAGAAAUGUAGAGAGUGAGUUGUGCAUAGUUUGUGAUUUUGAGGGCCUCUAAAAGUAUUAGGGCGGCAGCAGCCGCUGCACAGAGACGUGAGGGCUAGGCUAAAACAGUAAGGUCAAGCUAUUUGGACAGAAAGGCUACAGGGUGCGGUCCUGGCUCUUGUGUAAGAAUUCUGACCACGCUAACCAUGCCUAGGAAGGAAAGGAGUUGUCGUUUUGUAAGGGAUUGAGGUUUGGGAGAUUAAUCAGACACGAUCAGCAGGGAGAGCACGUGUGUUUUUAUGAGAAUUAUGCUGAGAUAGGUAACAGAUGAGGAUGAAAUUUGGGCUUGACUGAAGUAAUGGGGGCUGUCUGUGAAGCUUUGCGGCAGUACAGCCCAGGUAAUCUGCUGAGCCUGAUGGGUGUCAGGGUCAGUCCAAGUGAAAGUGAAGAGAGGCUGGGAUGACAGGAGCAAAGGAAUAGUAAAGAUACCAAGUUUGAGAUCCAGAACAGAAUAAUGGGUUGUUGAGGGAGGUAUUGAGGAUAGGAGAGUAUGUGUGUUUGGCACCAUGGGGUGGAUAGGCAAAACAAUUUUGUUGAUAAGAGGCAAAUCCUGAACUAACUUGUAAGGCUUGUCUGGUUUUAGGACAGGUAAAAUGGGAGAAUUGUAAGGAGAGUUUAUAGGCUUUAAAAGGCCAUGCUGUAGCAGGCGAGUGAUAACAGGCUUUAAUCCUUUCAAAGCAUGCUGUGGGAUGGGAUAUUGGCGUUGAGUGGGGUAAGGGUGAUUAGGUUUUAAUCAGAUGGUAAGGGGUGCAUGAUAGGUCAACAAGGAGGGAGUAGAGGUAUCCUAUACUUGCGGAUUAAGGUGGGGAGAUACAAGAGGAGGAUGUGAAGGGGGCUUUGAACUGGGGGAAAAGGUCACAAUGCGGUGUGGCUGUAGCCCAGGAAUAGUCAGGGAAGCAGAUAAUUUAGUUAAAGUGUUUCGGCCUAAUAAGGGAACUGGGCAGGUGGGGAUAACUAAAAAGGAGUGCUUAAAAGAGUUUUGUCUAAGUUGGCACAAGACUUGGGGAGUUUUAAGAGGUUUAGAAGCCUGGCCGUCAAUACCCACAACAGUUAUGGAGGCAAGGGAAACAGGCCCUUGAAAAGAAGGUAAUGUGGAGUGGGGAGCCUCCGUAUUGAUUAAGAAGGGGAUGAACUUACUUUCCACUGUGAGAGUUACCUAAAGCUCGGCGUCCGUGAUGGUCUACGGGGCUUCCGAGGCAAUAAGGCAGCGUCAGUCUUCAGCCGCUAAGCCGAGAAGGGAUCAGUCAGAGAGGCUUGGGCCAGAGUUCCAGGGGCUCUGGGAGUGGCUGCCAGGUGAGUUGGACAGUCCGAUUUCCAGUGGAGUCCCGCACAGAUGGGACGCGGCUUAGGAGGAAUCCUGGGCUGCAGGCAUUCCUUGGCCUGGUAGUCAGAUUUCUGGCACUUGUAGCAAGCUCCUGGGGGAGAAGGUUCUGGAGUAACGCCUGGCCACUGCGGUUCAGGCAUUUGGAAGUUCUUGUGUGCUGGAGAUGUGGCUGGGGUUUGUCUCACAGUGGAGGUUACCUAACCAAACUCCUGUAAAACCACACCACCUAUGCCUGUGAUGGGGACUAUCUGAAUCUACAGUGCCCUCGGCAUUCUACAAUAAGUGUCCAAUCGGCAUUUUAUGGACAAGAUUACCCAAUGUGUAGUUCCCAGAAGCCUGCCUGCCAGAGGGAAGACAGCUUAACUUGUGUGGCACCCACCACCUUCCAGAUGAAUUAAAAAACAAAACCGUGUGUGAAGACAAGGAGCUGAAACUGCACUGCCAUGAAUCCAAGUUCCUCAACAUCUACUCUGUGACCUAUGGCAGGAGGAUCCAGGAAAGGGACAUGUGCUCCUCCAAGGCAGAGCGGCUCCCCCCCUUUUCAGUUUGUGCUUUUGUAUGGGUAUUAGCCGGGGUUCUCUAGAGGGACUGAACUAAUAGGAUAUAUAAUGGGAUAUAUAUAUAUGAUUGUGGAAGUCAAUACUUAAUAACACAAUCACAAUCUUGUGAUCGUGAAUGUUAAUACUUAAUAAACUCCCAUAUGUGUGUGUGUGUGUGUGUGUGUGUGUGUGUGUGUGUAUAAAUGCUUGUAAACAGUAAUCUGCCAAAAAUAAAUAAGUAAAACAACAAGAACUGGCCGGGCACAGUGGCUCAUGCCUAUAAUCCUAGGACUUUGGGAAGCUGAGGCGGGUGGAUCACGAGGUCAGGAGUUCAAGACCAGCCUGGCCAACAUGGUGAAAUCCCGUCUCUACUUAUAAUACAAAAUUAUCUGGGUAUGGUAUCGCAUGCCUGUAAUCCCAGCUACUUGGGAGGCUGUGACAAGAAGAAUCACUUGAACCUGGUAGGCAGAGUUGGCAGUCAGCUGAGAUCUCACCAAUGCACUCCACCUUGGGUGAGAAGAGUGAAACUCUGUCUCAAAAAAGAAAAAGAAAAAAAAAAGACACGGUCCUGUUUUCAUGGGGUGAACAGUUGAGGGAGAAAGGCAAGCAUUAACCAAAUAGGCAGACACAUCAUCAUGCCCUAUUGUGACAAAUGCUAUUUUAGAAAAGGGAAGAAGACUAUAGCAGUGGAGGGGGCCUAAUUUAGCUUGGGGGUGGUGGUUUAAGUCUUCCAAAGAGAACCAUCCUGUAGGGUGAACACUAGGGUAUGCACACUAGCUGCACUCUAGGGGCUGAGACGCUGAGAUUGCUGAGUGGGAGAGGAAAGGUGUUGAUGAGGAGGAAGAUGGCCCUGGUUUAAACUGCUGAGAACAGGGUGCUGCACACAGUAGGAGCGCCAUGAAGAGUGGUCCCCAGUGUUCUCACCAACAUAUCUGAAGUGGAGCAGGACGGUGAUCAAUCACACCCCUGUCCCCGACCUCAUUCUGAACCCGUUUGAAACGAGCAGAUGCAAAAAUCUGACAAGUGUGUUGACAACGGUGAUUUUAAAGGUCCUAAGAGAUUCUCUGGAUUUCAGAACCAAUUUCCCAUAGUAGAGGGGCACAUUCCCUGCAGUGGCCUGUGUCAUACACAGCCAAUUUCACCUUUUCACUGCCUGGUUAUUCUGCAAAGUGCAUCCUAGAAUGACCUUCCUCUCUGAGCUCCUCUUCAAAAUUCUGAUUCUUUCUCAAACUGUAAAGCCUCUGGCAUUUGCCAAGAGCCAAGGCCCUCCUGAAGCCACAGUUUGAGAACAGCCAAGAGGCAGACAUGAGAAAGAAGUCCCACCCCUGGCAGGGAGAGCUGACACUUCCCGGGCUACUGCAUCCUUCUCAGGGCCCAGAAAUGAAUGAGAGGUAAUUAAAGCAGAAAGCAUUUUGCAGCAGCUCCGCUCAGCUCUCCGAAGCUGCCAUGGUCCCAGGAUCAGUGGUGUGCCCUGAGGACAGCCAAGGGACAUUCCUCGAGGCCCUAGAAAUCAUCAGCCACCUCCAGCAACUUCACCGGGCCUCCCUGGGAAGUCUCCCUUGCUGCUGAUGGGCACGAAGGCACCAGGGCCUCCUGUACAUGGAAAACUCACAAUCUAGGAAUGUCCUGUGGUUGUUGAUCCUGGGACAUCCCCAGAAGAAUUUAGUUAAGCCCUCCAAGAAAGGAAACAAGGUUUUCUUGCUGCUGAAGAUGUCUCACUUGUUCUUUUUUAAAAAAGCAGUGCAAUUGAAUUUGCAGUUUGUUUUUGCUUUCUUUCCAUUUCCUGUUGCUACAUCUCCAAGAUCUCAGCUGCGCUGAGGAACAAACAAAAAUAAGCAAUUUUAUGCAGGAGGAAUAUUCGGUUUCCACUCCCUUCUCCCAGCCUGCGGCAGUGCUUGGCCUGCAGAAUUCUUGCUCUGCCCUCUGUUUCAGCGGGUGUUGUCAUCUGCCAGCUGCUUUGCCUGGGGGUUCUGACAUCUCAGGGCUUAUUCUUAGCGUCAGUCUCAGCAGAGUCUUAAACCACGUUCAAAGGAUUCGGUCCCGCUGCCAUCCUCUCUGCAUCUUUCUGUAGUUCUUUCUGAUAAUAUUUAGCAAAUCACUUUAACACAGAGUCUUCGAAUUCUUUCCAGAUUUACGAUGGAAACACAGAGGCAAAGAGCUUGGGGUAGAAAGCAGAAGAGCAGGUGCUGGAAGAGUUUAAUGGUGGAUUUUGAGUUGGUCACAGUCAUUUUGCUUUACUAAGUCCAGGGAAGCUCAUCUUCAGAGUUAACCACUGUGUGUGUGUGUGUGUGUGUGUGUGUGUGUGUGUGUGUGUAUAUAUAUAUAUAUCACACACACACUGUGAUAUAUAUAUAUAUAUACACACACACUGGUAUAUAUAUAUAUAUUUAUAUAUAACCACUGUGUGUGUGUAUAUAUAUGUAUAUAUAUGUGUGUAUAUAUA
rnacentral:lncRNA from 1 species